GUGUUCUUUGAACCCUCAAGUUCUUAGCAAUGCACAGCCGAAAACGAAGAGCUUAAGGCCAUUUUCAGGAGGAACAUGUCAAGACUCGCUAGGAAUAACAUUAAAGAAAUGAUAGACCUCUUCUCCGUCAAUGACUCCAACGUCUGUUGAACAAACUGAACAGCAUACACGUUUAUAUGUCUUGCCUAUAUCAGAACCCGCUUCAGCUUCAGAAGAUCCACGCCCUUUCUUACCCCUCUUUCGUUUGCUUCCAAGAUGUGCGGUGACUUGUUCACUCUUGAUCUUGCAAUUGACCACGAACAUUGCUCGGUACUGUGUGACAUUCUUUUCAUGCCUUUGACAAUCUAGACAAAGGGUGGUAAAACAAGCUGGACAAUUAAGGAUAGCAUCAGAAGUACGACCACCCCUUUUCUUUUGGACCCAGACUUCAUCUUUGUCAUCAAGUUCUGGAUCAUAAAAUUCUGGCUUGACAGAGUAAUCUAUCUCAUCAUCAUCAGAAACUGUUUGCUGAGAAUGAGAUGGCGAUUCUUCUCCUUCUUCUACUUUAUGCUUUUCGUCGUCUUUACUGUUCAUCGCACUUUUGUUCUCGCGAUACCGGAGGAAUUGUGC
rnacentral:misc_RNA from 1 species